rnacentral:rRNA from 1 species
AUUGAACGCUGGCGGCAGGCCUAACACAUGCAAGUCGAACGAGUGGCGGACGGGUGAGUAAUGUCUGGGAAACUGCCUGAUGGAGGGGGAUAACUACUGGAAACGGUAGCUAAUACCGCAUACCAUCGGAUGUGCCCAGAUGGGAUUAGCUAGUGGGUGGGGGAACGGUUCACCGAGGCGACGAUCCCUAGCUGGUCUGAGAGUAUGACCAGCCACACUGGAACUGAGACACGGUCCAGACUCCUACGGGGGGCAGCAGUGGGGAAUAUUGCACAAUGGGCGAAAGCCUGAUGAAGCCAUGCCGCGUGUAUGAAGAAGGCCUUCGGGUUGUAAAGCACUUGCAGCGGGGAGGCGUUACCCGCAGAAGAAGCACCGGCUAACUCCGUGCCAGCCGCCGCGGUAAUUC